AGUGAACGCUGGCGGUAGGCCUAACACAUGCAGGUCGAACGGCAGCACAGAGGAGCUUGCUCCUUGGGUGGCGAGUGGCGGACGGGUGAGGAAUACAUCGGAAUCUACUCUGUCGUGGGGGAUAACGUAGGGAAACUUACGCUAAUACCGCAUACGACCUACGGGUGAAAGCAGGGGAUCUUCGGACCUUGCGCGAUUGAAUGAGCCGAUGUCGGAUUAGCGAGUUGGCGGGGUAAAGGCCCACCAAGGCGACGAUCCGUAGCUGGGCUGAGGGUAUGAUCCGCACCACUGGAACUGAGACACGCUCCAGACUCCUACGGGAGGCAGCAGUGGGGAAUAUUGGACGAUGGGCGCAAGCCUGAUCCAGCCAUACCGCGUGGGUGAAGAAGGCCUUCGGGUUGUAAAGCCCUUUUGUUGGGGAAGAAAUCCAUCUGGUUAAUACCCGGGUGGGAUGACGGUACCCAAAGAAUAAGCACCGGCUAACUUCGUGCCAGCCGCCGCCGUAA
rnacentral:rRNA from 1 species